CACGGCAGCAAAAUCACUGGAGUCCAUGGUUUUUGUCACACACACAGAGCACAGAUUUUUUUGAUUAUGUAGAUUUCUUUUCCUACUGCAGUUUCAUAUGCAAAGCAUGCAUCAGCCACAUCCAUGCUAUCUCCUAAAGCAGUCAUUCUGAAACCCAAUCUGGGGACAGUGCAGACUAAAUAAAAUUUCAUUUUGAUUUGGCCUCCCGCUGCGAAUGGGACUGCUUUGUCUCAGCCGACAGAACCAGCAAGCCAGAAAGAUGAUGGGAAGAUGUGGACUCUGGUGGAAGACACAUGAUCAGAUCCCUUUGUUUUCAUGUUUGCAUCUCAUUCGUCUGUUGGAUUUUAAAGAAGUGUUCCCGAAUCAUACAGGAAUCGUCUGCGAGGAAAUUAUACUCUUCUUCCAAGUCUACACAAGAAGGUGUUUGAAUUUUUUCCAGAAAUGAUUACAUAUUUUUCUCUUUCAGUCUUGCACAAUAAAACAUUCAGUCCUUUGACUCUCCA
rnacentral:lncRNA from 13 species